AGUGAACGCUGGCGGUAGGCCUAACACAUGCAAGUCGAACGGCAGCACAGUAAGAGCUUGCUCUUACGGGUGGCGAGUGGCGGACGGGUGAGGAAUACAUCGGAAUCUACUUUUUCGUGGGGGAUGACGUAGGGAAACUUACGCUAAUACCGCAUACGACCUACGGGUGAAAGCAGGGGAUCUUCGGACCUUUCGCGAUUGAAUGAGCCGAUGUCGGAUUAGCUAGUUGGCGGGGUAAAGGCCCACCAAGGCGACGAUCCGUAGCUAGUCUGAGAGGAUGAUCAAUCACAGUGGAAUCUAUAUACGGCUCAGACUGCUUCUGGGGGCUCCAGUGGGGAAUGUUGAGCUGCAGGCUAGAACCCGCUCCAGGAAUAUCACGUGGGGCGAGAAGGACUUCCGGUUGGGAAGCCCCUUUGUUGGGAAAGAAAAGCAGCAUGUUAAUACCCCGCUGUUCUGACGGUACCCAAAGAAUAAGCACCGGCUAACUUCGUG
rnacentral:rRNA from 1 species